UGACCUCGGAUUAGGUAGGAAACCCGC
rnacentral:rRNA from 1 species